rnacentral:rRNA from 1 species
AGAGUUUGAUUAUGGCUCAGGAUGAACGCUAGCUACAGGCUUAACACAUGCAAGUCGAGGGGUAGCAGGGUAGCAAUACCGCUGACGACCGGCGCACGGGUGAGUAACACGUAUCCAACCUUCCCAUAACUCAGGGAUAGCCUUUCGAAAGAAAGAUUAAUACCUGAUAGUACUUUUUCAAGGCAUCUUGAGAAGUUAAAGAUUUAUUGGUUAUGGAUGGGGAUGCGUUCCAUUAGAUAGUUGGUGAGGUAACGGCUCACCAAGUCUUCGAUGGAUAGGGGUUCUGAGAGGAAGGUCCCCCACAUUGGUACUGAGACACGGACCAAACUCCUACGGGAGGCAGCAGUGAGGAAUAUUGGUCAAUGGGCGAGAGCCUGAACCAGCCAAGUAGCGUGAAGGAAUGAAGGUCCUAUGGAUUGUAAACUUCUUUUAUAGUAGAAUAAAGUGAUCCACGUGUGGAUUUUUGUAUGUAUACUAUGAAUAAGGAUCGGCUAACUCCGUGCCAGCCGCGGC